ACACCAUGGAGUGCAGGGUAAGCCCUAGAGCGUAACCGCUGUUGGUGCUGCUCCGAGCUGGCCUCUCACUGGUCACAUAACCUGUAACCACAGUUAUAGCGGUGGAUGCAUGCAGAUGACACGACAGCCCCUUCUAACAGAGGUUUAGAGUGGUGAAACUGAGGAGUAAUCCCAGCUCCAAAUUCCAGUUUGACCCAAGUCAAGAAGCAUACUUCUAGACAUUUCAAUCAAAAUUCUGUUCUUUCUCUUUGCCACUCCAUUUUCCUCUGAGUAUAAGUCUGUUUCACACAGUUUACCAUCUUUCAACAUGCCUUUGAUCAGACAUUUUCCUUCUUUGAAAAUAAAGCAAUGGUCCCUUCUGAAAAUAACUCUACAAUCAUCCAUGCCAUGUAGCUGUUUUUACACUCAUUAAACUGUUUUGCAUACUUGGAACAUAGUAUGCCCCUGUAAUGCAUACUCCAUUCACUCUGUUUGCACCAAGUUCACACUUCAGAUAAACUGUCCUGCAAAGAUUUGCUGCCUGAUAGCAAUGUAUAUAAGACUUUUAUGUCCCAUGCUUAUCUCAGAGAAAUAUUGCAAAUUAUUGAAGAAAUGUGAAGUAGCUCCAGUAUUCAAAUAUAUUUUGUUUCUACUUUGACUUGCAUAACCUUGCAGAUUGUUUCUUUUGCA